rnacentral:misc_RNA from 1 species
AACUCUCAACCCCAUCUAAUGCUUUUGGUAUUAGGUCGUUUGGGUUUGGAUCUUGGUCUUUGCAGUUUGCUUCAAUGCGAACGGCUGGAUUGAAAUACAACAAGCUGGAUUCAUAGACUUGCGGCUUGACCUGUCGUUGUAAGCAAUUACUGCAUUCGAUGGGGACGCAAGAUAAUGAAAGGAGCUUUCAAUAUUGCUAUACCACUCUGCUCUUACGGACUUAGUGCAUUC